AUACUUACCUGGCAGGGGAGACACCAUGAUCAGGCAGGUGGUUUUCCUGGGGCGAGGCUCAUCCCUUGCACUCCGGGUGUGCUGACCCCAUACAAUCAGUAAGAAGAUUGCACAGUUUAGC
rnacentral:snRNA from 1 species